rnacentral:lncRNA from 1 species
CAGGCCUUCCCAGCCCAGGUCCAAGCCCCAUGAGCCAGCCACCUGCUGGCACGCUCCCCGGCCCACACUAGGUACCCACAGCAGCGCUGAUUAUUUCCCAUUCCUUUCAGUGUCCCCGAAGGUCAUCUCUGGGUCCCUUCAUUAAGUGGCAGAGAGGUCUGCUUCUUGGCUGUCUUUGCCUCCUUCGCUUUCCAGUCUUCCCAGAAGGUUCUGUUUACAGCCAGAAAUCAAAGGAGCCUGGCUUUCCCCAGCCCCUUGGCAGCAAGGCAAGACUGGCUGCACGGUGGCUGUCACUCUGCACGGUGGCUGCCAAGCUGCAGAGCUCAGCCUGCCUGCCUCCCCCCCACCCCGUUAUUGUGAUGUGCUUGAUAAAUGACCUACUCCAGCCCCCUUCUUCUUGGGGAUGCUCAUAGUGUUCCUGGGGAAAGGCUAACCUGAGGAUGUGGAUUAGCAGAGGUGUGUGUGCGUGUGUGUGUGUGUGUGUGUGUGUUUUCUUGUUGAUGCUUCAGAGCAGACAGACUGGGAAACAGCUUUGCAGAAAGGUUAGGCAGGGUCGAGAAUAAUUAAGCUCACUUAAGUCACUGCGUUCCUUUCUUAGGGCUGCCACAACAAAUUAUCUCCAACUUGGUGGCAUAAAACAACAGAAAUGUGUCCUCACCACACCUCAGGCGAGAAGCCUGAAAUCAAGCUGUUUUCAGGGCCACACUCUCUCCAGAGACUGUCCCUUCCAGCUUCUGGUAGAUCCUGGUAACUCUUGGUAUCCCUCAGCUCGGGGCUGUAUGGCUCCCAUCUUGGUCUUCACAUGACCUUCUCUUGCAUGUUCUCCCCAGUCACUCAUGAAGACGUUUGUCACUGGAUAAACCGGGAUCAGCUCACCUCCAAGAUCCUUGAUGACAUCUGCAGAGACACUUUUCCCCAGUCAGGUCACGAUCACAGAUGCUGGGGGUAGGAGGUGGAUGUAAGUUUUGGGGGCCACCACUCAACCCACUAUGGUCAUAAGCACUUGGUUUUGCACAGAGGACGUGGCUGAAGGCAGGACUGAGGUUCAGAUGGAUCAGAUAGUUUGGAAGAAUCGGGGUGGGGCGGGGGCUGUUAGCUGUGAUCCCUGGGGCAGGGCUGUGGUUCUUGCCAUAAAGCAAGAGUAGGGAGAAGGCUGCCCCUGCUUGUCUCAGGAGCGGCCACCUGAGAGGGAGCCAGCCUGGGUACAGGAGCGACACUUCUCUGACCCCCGGGAAUUUCUAAGGACUGAGUCCUAUGUCUUGGGAAAACUUGUCCCCUGCUCCUGCCAGAGCCCCUCUAGUGGGCGCAGUGACAACAGUCAUAGGUUCUUGCAGCUGAGUGGCAUCUUUGCCUGGCCCAUUGUGGGGGUUGGUCCUAGGCACUGGCCACGUGUCAGGAUGCUGCUUCUCCUGGUGGGGUUCCGAGAAAGCCGGCUGGAAGGAUGAGGGAUUGGGGCCCGGAAUGGGAGGUUAGGCCCCUCCGUUCUGGGGAUGGCCACCCAGUGUCUUCCAAACCACUCAGAAGAGGCUGGGGUGGAGGCUGAGGCUGAGCCUGGGGGCUUGAGCACUUGAAUGGCACCUAGGUCGGCAGAUCUCGAGAGGCUAAGGUGGGCAACCCUAUAGUGUAUUAUCCAGCAGGGACGCUUGUGAGAGUCCAGUUACACUUGUUAACAGGCACUAACCAGGACUGUCCCUGGUAAGUGGGGGGUUCAAGUCGAAGACCCCCCCUCCCCGAGGACUGUGCCAGAGGCAGCACCAUUUACUUCCCUGGCAAAGCUCCUCAUCUGUUUAGGCAGAUGAGGCAGGAACGGGAGGGGUGCCUGGCCACUGUCAGGCCCACUGUCCCUCUCCUGAACUCCAGGCUGUCUCUGGGUCAGCGGCUCCCUGCUCCAGGCUGGUUAGCAUCCCCUUGGAGCUUUUCAGCAGUGCUGCUGCCCGUGCCCCACCCGGAGCAACCAGUUCAGAAUCUCUGUAGUGUCCCAGGCAGGUGAAGGUCCCUAAGUUAUUCUAAAGAACAGAAGGAUCCAAACCUACGUGGGCUGGGGAUGUGGCUCAAGCGGUGGCGCUCGCCUGGCAUGCGUGCGGCCCGGGUUCGAUCCUUAGCACCACAUACAAACAAAGAUAUUGUGUCCACCAAAAAACUAAAAAAUAAAUAUUAAAAAGUUCUCUCUCUCUCUCUCUCUCUUAAAAAAAAAAAAACACUUACGGGCACUGGAGAUCUC